rnacentral:rRNA from 1 species
AUUGAACGCUGGCGGCAUGCCUUACACAUGCAAGUCGAACGCGAAAGAGGGGCAACCCUUGAGUAGAGUGGCGAACGGGUGAGUAACGCAUCGGAACGUAUCCAGUAGUGGGGGAUAACCCAUCGAAAGAUGGGCUAAUACCGCAUACGCCCCGAGGGGGAAAGUGGGGGAUCCGCAAGGACCUCACGGUAUUGGAGCGGCCGAUGUCCGAUUAGCUAGUUGGCGGGGUAAGAGCCCACCAAGGCGACGAUCGGUAGCUGGUCUGAGAGGAUGAUCAGCCACACUGGGACUGAGACACGGCCCAGACUCCUACGGGAGGCAGCAGUGGGGAAUUUUGGACAAUGGGGGCAACCUGAUCCAGCCAUGCCGCGUGAGUGAAGAAGGCCUUCGGGUUGUAAGCUCUUUCGGCCGGAACGAAAUCGCAUCUCUUAACACGGGGUGUGGAUGACGGUACCGGAAGAAGAAGCACCGGCUAACUACGUGCCAGCCGCCGCGGUAAGAC